rnacentral:misc_RNA from 1 species
UUUCGGUAUCCUGUGUUGCUUACCAACCGAACGGAAUCCGGUUGUUUUCGUUUCCUUAUCCGCCCGGUUCCCUUAAGAGGGGGCGUCGGGCGGACGGUGGGCUGACCUCGUGUUCCAGGUACAUCUCGCAUCUUUGCGUGGUUACCACGGCCCACGGGGUUACGCUCGUUCUCUCGGACGCGGACCGUUAGUUGUGGGCGAGGGGUUGUCACGANCUCCAUUCGUCCAAGCUACUACUAAGCAUCCGUCAAUCGGACACGAACGACCGCCGCACUCGUCUUGGCUUUUACGGUCGAACGGCCGUACAACGUCCACGCGAGCGUCGGCGCCGUGAAGGAAUGCUACCUGGUUGAUCCUGCCAGUAGUCAUAUG